rnacentral:rRNA from 1 species
UGGGGAAUUUUGCACAAUGGGGGAAACCCUGAUGCAGCGACGCCGCGUGAUUUAGAAGGCCUUCGGGUUGUAAAAAUCUUUUGUAUGGGAAGAAAAUGACAGUACCAUACGAAUAAGGACCGGCUAAUUACGUGCCAGCAGCCGCGGUAAUACGUAAGGUCCGAGCGUUGUCCGGAAUCAUUGGGCGUAAAGGGUACGUAGGCGGAUAAGCAAGUUAGAAGUGAAAUCCUAUAGCUCAACUAUAGUAAGCUUUUAAAACUGCUCAUCUUGAGGUAUGGAAGGGAAAGUGGAAUUCCUAGUGUAGCGGUGAAAUGCUCAGAUAUUAGGAGGAAUACCGGUGGCGAAGGCGACUUUCUGGCCAUAAACUGACGAUGAGGUACGAAAGCGUGGGUAGCAAACAGG